AUCAACUUUCGAUGGUAGGAUAGAGGCCUACCAUGGUGGUAACGGGUAACGGGGUGUUAGGGCACGACACCGGAGAGGGAGCCUGAGAAACGACUACCACAUCCAAGGAUGGCAGCAGGCGCGCAAAUUACCCAAUCCCGACACGGGGAGGUAGUGACAAUAAAUAACAAUACGGGGUUCUUUCGGAUCUCGUAAUUGGAAUGAGUACAAUUUAAAUCUCUUAACGAGGAACAAUUGGAGGGCAAGUCUGGUGCCAGCAGCCGCGGUAAUUCCAGCUCCAAUAGCGUAUAUUAAAGUUGUUGCAGUUAAAAAGCUCGUAGUUGAAUUUCGGGAUCAGAUUGUUGGUCGUGCCUCGGUACGCACUGGCAUUAUUGGUUCCUACCUUCUGAAGAACCGCGAUGUCAUUAAUUUGGUGUCGUGGGGAAUUAGGACUGUUACCUUGAAAAAAUUAGAGUGUUUAAAGCAGGCUCACGCUUGAAUACAUUAGCAUGGAAUAAUGAAAUAGGACAUCCGAUUCUAUUUUGUUGGUUUCUAGGAUCGAUGUAAUGAUUAAUAGGGAUAGUUGGGGGCAUUAGUAUUCAAUUGUCAGAGGUGAAAUUCUUGGAUUUAUUGAAGACUAACUACUGCGAAAGCAUUUGCCAAGGAUGUUUUCAUUAAUCAAGAACGAAAGUUAGGGGAUCGAAGACGAUCAGAUACCGUCGUAGUCUUAACCAUAAACUAUGUCGACUAGGGAUCGGAUGAUGUUAAUUUUUUAAUGACUCAUUCGGCGCCUUACGGGAAACCAAAGUGUUUGGGUUC
rnacentral:rRNA from 1 species